rnacentral:rRNA from 1 species
UACGUAGGUGGCAAGCGUUGUCCGGAUUUAUUGGGCGUAAAGAGCCCGUAGGCGGCUUAGUAAGUCGGGUGUGAAACCUCCAGGCUCAACCUGGAGACGCCACCCGAUACUGCUGUGGCUAGAGUCCGGUAGGGGAGCGUGGAAUUCCUGGUGUAGCGGUGAAAUGCGCAGAUAUCAGGAGGAACACCAGCGGCGAAGGCGGCGCUCUGGGCCGGUACUGACGCUGAGGAGCGAAAGCGUGGGGAGCAAACAGG